rnacentral:rRNA from 1 species
UCGGGAAUUUUGGGCAAUGGGCGAAAGCCUGACCCAGCAACGCCGCGUGAAGGAUGAAGUAUUUCGGUAUGUAAACUUCGAAAGAAUGGGAAGAAUCAAUGACGGUACCAUUUAUAAGGUCCGGCUAACUACGUGCCAGCAGCCGCGGUAAUACGUAGGGACCAAGCGUUGUUCGGAUUUACUGGGCGUAAAGGGCGCGUAGGCGGUGUGUCAAGUCAGUUGUGAAAUCUCCGAGCUUAACUCGGAACGGUCAACUGAUACUGUCACACUAGAGUACAGAAGGGGCAAUCGGAAUUCUUGGUGUAGCGGUGAAAUGCGUAGAUAUCAAGAGGAACACCUGAGGCGAAGGCGGGUUGCUGGGCUGAUACUGACGCUGAGGCGCGAAAGCUAGGGUAGCAAACGGGAUUAGAUACCCGUGUAGUCCCUGAGCGGGCUGGCAAGGCGCAU